GAAUUUUAUUCUAAAUAUGACAAUUGGCGGUAGAAAUACAAUCAAAAUACCCCACUCACUUUGUUUCCUCGGUCUGUAUUUUCGCUCUUGAGCUGUCUCCUUGGUAUUGGAAGCAAUUUCUUAUAACUUUACAAUUUUCCAUGCGUCCAUUCUUAUUCUGUCCCACUAGAUUCAAUUCGAGGACGAAUUGUCUUAAGGGGGGGAGAUUGNNNN
rnacentral:lncRNA from 1 species